rnacentral:misc_RNA from 1 species
AAGUCGUAACAAGGUUUCCGUAGGUGAACCUGCGGAAGGAUCAUUAUUGAAAUAAACCUGAUGGGUUGCUGCUGGCUCUCUAGGGAGCAUGUGCACACUUGUCAUCUUUAUAUCUCCACCUGUGCACCUUUUGUAGAUCUGGAUAUCUUUCUGAAUGCCUGGCAUUCAGGUUUUGAGGAUUGACUUUUUGUCUUUCCUUACAUUUCCAGGCCUACGUUUUCUUCACAUACCCCAUUUAUGUUAUAGAAUGUAAUAAAAAGGGCCUUUGUGCCUACAAACCUUAUACAACUUUCAGCAACGGAUCUCUUGGCUCUC